GGCAACGUAGCUCAGGGGCAGAGCGGGCGCUUCAUAAGCGCUAGGUCCGUGGUUCGAAACCACGCGUUGCCACCA
rnacentral:tRNA from 1 species